AGCGAACGCUGGCGGCAGGCUUAACACAUGCAAGUCGAGCGGGCACUUUCGGGUGUCCGCGGCGGACGGGUGAGUAACGCGUGGGAACGUGCCCUCUGGUUCGGAAUAACUCAGGGAAACUUGAGCUAAUACCGGAUACGCCCUUUUGGGGAAAGGCUUGCUGCCGGAGGAUCGGCCCGCGUCUGAUUAGCUAGUUGGUGAGGUAACGGCUCACCAAGGCGACGAUCAGUAGCUGGUCUGAGAGGAUGAUCAGCCACACUGGGACUGAGACACGGCCCAGACUCCUACGGGAGGCAGCAGUGGGGAAUAUUGGACAAUGGGCGCAAGCCUGACCCAGCCAUGCCGCGUGAGUGAUGAAGGCCUUAGGGUUGUAAAGCUCUUUUAUCCGGGACGAUAAUGACGGUACCGGAGGAAUAAGCCCCGGCUAACUUCGUG
rnacentral:rRNA from 1 species